rnacentral:rRNA from 1 species
CACUCCUGCGGGAGGCAGCAGUGGGGAAUAUUGCACAAUGGGCGCAAGCCUGAUGCAGCCAUGCCGCGUGUAUGAAGAAGGCCUUCGGGUUGUAAAGUACUUUCAGCGGGGAGGAAGGCGAUAAGGUUAAUAACCUUGUCGAUUGACGUUACCCGCAGAAGAAGCACCGGCUAACUCCGUGCCAGCAGCCGCGGUAAUACGGAGGGUGCAAGCGUUAAUCGGAAUUACUGGGCGUAAAGCGCACGCAGGCGGUCUGUCAAGUCGGAUGUGAAAUCCCCGGGCUCAACCUGGGAACUGCAUUCGAAACUGGCAGGCUAGAGUCUUGUAGAGGGGGGUAGAAUUCCAGGUGUAGCGGUGAAAUGCGUAGAGAUCUGGAGGAAUACCGGUGGCGAAGGCGGCCCCCUGGACAAAGACUGACGCUCAGGUGCGAAAGCGUGGGGAGCAAACAGGAUUAGAUACCCCGGUAGGCCCAUGA